rnacentral:rRNA from 1 species
GACGAACGCUUGCGGCGUGCUUAACACAUGCAAGUCGAACGGAAAGGCCCUGCUUUUGUGGGGUGCUCGAGUGGCGAACGGGUGAGUAACACGUGAGUAACCUGCCCUUGACUUUGGGAUAACUUCAGGAAACUGGGGCUAAUACCGGAUAGGAGCUCCUGCUGCAUGGUGGGGGUUGGAAAGUUUCGGCGGUUGGGGAUGGACUCGCGGCGUAUCAGCUUGUUGGUGGGGUAGUGGCUUACCAAGGCUUUGACGGGUAGCCGGCCUGAGAGGGUGACCGGCCACAUUGGGACUGAGAUACGGCCCAGACUCCUACGGGAGGCAGCAGUGGGGAAUAUUGCACAAUGGGCGGAAGCCUGAUGCAGCAACGCCGCGUGCGGGAUGACGGCCUUCGGGUUGUAAACCGCUUUCGCCUGUGACGAAGCGUGAGUGACGGUAAUGGGUAAAGAAGCACCGGCUAACUACGUGCCAGCAGCCGCGGUGAUACGUAGGGUGCGAGCGUUGUCCGGAUUUAUUGGGCGUAAAGGGCUCGUAGGUGGUUGAUCGCGUCGGAAGUGUAAUCUUGGGGCUUAACCCUGAGCGUGCUUUCGAUACGGGUUGACUUGAGGAAGGUAGGGGAGAAUGGAAUUCCUGGUGGAGCGGUGGAAUGCGCAGAUAUCAGGAGGAACACCAGUGGCGAAGGCGGUUCUCUGGGCCUUUCCUGACGCUGAGGAGCGAAAGCGUGGGGAGCGAACAGGCUUAGAUACCCUGGUAGUCCACGCUGUAAACGGUGGGUACUAGGUGUGGGGUCCAUUCCACGGGUUCCGUGCCGUAGCUAACGCUUUAAGUACCCCGCCUGGGGAGUACGGCCGCAAGGCUAAAACUCAAAGGAAUUGACGGGGCCCCGCACAAGCGGCGGAGCAUGCGGAUUAAUUCGAUGCAACGCGUAGAACCUUACCUGGGUUUGACAUGGAUCGGGAGUGCUCAGAGAUGGGUGUGCCUCUUUUGGGGUCGGUUCACAGGUGGUGCAUGGCUGUCGUCAGCUCGUGUCGUGAGAUGUUGGGUUAAGUCCCGCAACGAGCGCAACCCUUGUUCACUGUUGCCAGCACGUUAUGGUGGGGACUCAGUGGAGACCGCCGGGGUCAACUCGGAGGAAGGUGGGGAUGACGUCAAGUCAUCAUGCCCCUUAUGUCCAGGGCUUCACGCAUGCUACAAUGGCUGGUACAGAGAGUGGCGAGCCUGUGAGGGUGAGCGAAUCUCGGAAAGCCGGUCUCAGUUCGGAUUGGGGUCUGCAACUCGACCUCAUGAAGUCGGAGUCGCUAGUAAUCGCAGAUCAGCAACGCUGCGGUGAAUACGUUCCCGGGGCC